rnacentral:rRNA from 1 species
AGCGAACGCUGGCGGCAAGCUUAACACAUGCAAGUCGAGCGCUGUAGCAAUACAGAGCGGCGGACGGGUGCGUAACACGUGGGAAUCUGCCUUUAGGUUUGGAAUAACUCAGGGAAACUUGAGCUAAUAUCGUAUAAUGUCUUCGGACCAAAGAUUUAUCGCCUAAAGAUGAGCCCGCGGUAGAUUAGCUAGUUGGUGAGGUAAUGGCUCACCAAGGCUACGAUCUAUAGCUGGUCUAAGAGGAUGAUCAGCCACACUGGGACUGAGACACGGCCCAGACUCCUACGGGAGGCAGCAGUGGGGAAUAUUGGGCAAUGGGCGAAAGCCUGACCCAGCUAUGCCGCGUGAAUGAUGAAGGCCUUAGGGUUGUAAAGUUCUUUUACCAGGGACGAUGAUGACGGUACCUGGAGAAAAAGCCCCGGCAAACUUCGUGCCAGCAGCCGCAGUAA